GUAAUAUGGUGGGUUUGAGACAGCCCAUCUGCAAUGGUCUUUAUCUUCUUUAUUAAAGCUUUAUCAAACUUAUUAUAGGUCAUUGAGAGCUCCAUCAUUGUUCCUCAAGCUUCUCUAUCAUACUUCUCAAGUUUAGCUCUAGUACUCAUAACACUGGUAGAAGGCAGGAUGGCUACUGAAGCACCCAGCUGGGCAGAUCAAUGGGGAGCUGGCGGCAUCGGUGCUCUGGAAGAAGAUGACACUACAGCCCAGAAAGAGAGCAACAACAAGAAGGCUAAUGCAAAAGGAGGAUUGAGCAAAGUCAAAGCAACGUUCUCCAGUGGCAUCAAAUGGGUAAAGCAUAGAUGCCAGAAAAAAGGCUUUGCCAAAGGAAAAUGACCAGGAUCUGUAUUUUAUUGUAUUCAUGAACAACAUUUUUAGAUCACUUGUAUGCAUCCUUAUUUUAUAGAGAGUUUGCAAGCUCAAUUUCCUUCUCA